AGGUACUCCAUUGUCUGAUGGAUCUGAGAACGCUGUCUGGGCUUGGUACCAAGAGCUGGUAUUUCACAGCAGCGACCGCCUCACAGACGAGCUGUGGGAAGCAGGAGGGAGACUCUCUCUUAGGGUGCCACUACUAUGGAGACACAGCUGGGCUGAACAAGAUUUGCUUCAAACGACAACAAGAGAGACAGAAAGUAUCUGGUUCAACCGCUGCCCGAGCAGGCAGGCACCAGAAGAGCUAGCAGCCAAUCCGGCCAUGCUCGAAGCCAGCUCUGCAGCUCAGCCAAUCAGUGACAUCAUUGGUGAGAAACUCAUUUACAUCAUGCAGUAAUGAACUUUGUUUAACAUAGACUUCCCCCUUUCCUGUCACCCCCCCCCCUUUCCAUAUUAGGUCCUUCCAUUAAUUAUUCUGCUGGCAUAAUUUAAACCGCUAUGCAAAAAUGUGGCUACAUUCUCUCUGAUGGCUUUUACCUCCCCCCCCCCCCCCCCCAUUGGUGUCUGCCGUCACUGAAAGUGAUUCUGGGUACAAUUCUAUUUUGUUUUGAACUUGCAAAAAUUAUCUUCUCUUUCUUAAAAAAAAUUCUUAACAACAUUAAACCUCUGUUUAUAUUGUCUGAUCCCUCUUCUUAUGAAUGAAUACAUGCUUCUCCAAGUUGGGGUUCAGAAUUGUACAAGGCAACAGAGAAUAAGGUGUGCAUUGCCAUGGAAGUUGCAGGUUUUUCAAACAAUCUGUAUCUUAGAACUUCCUUUAACGUUUCCAGAUUUUAUGCUGCAGUGGCCAUUUUACAUACAGUGCUUUAUCCAAAAAGCACUUGUAUGCAUCUGUCACAUGGAGGAAAGUUCACUCUUGUUAUAUUUCAUUCUCCACUGCUCUCAGCCAACAUUGUCAUUUUAUUAAUGAAUAGAACUGAGGUCAUUUCUGGACAAAUCUCCCCCUUCCCAUCCCAGCACAAUGCACCUGAUUUGCAUCCAUUUACUAGAAAAAA
rnacentral:lncRNA from 1 species